GUGCUCAGGUCAGCAGCACAUACGCUAAAACUGCAACUUUACAGAGAUUAUCGUGACACCUGCACGAGGAUAACAUGCCCAUUUGUGAAACAUCCUAUUAAAAA